rnacentral:misc_RNA from 1 species
GAUGACGAACGCAGCGAAAUGCGAUAAGUAAUGUGAAUUGCAGAAUUCAGUGAAUCAUCGAAUCUUUGAACGCACAUUGCGCCCGCCAGUAUUCUGGCGGGCAUGCCUGUUCGAGCGUCAUUUCAACCAUCAAGCCCCCGGCUUGUGUUGGGGACCUGCGGCUGCCGCAGGCCCUGAAAAGCAGUGGCGGGCUCGCUGUCACACCGAGCGUAGUAGCAUACAUCUCGCUCUGGGCGUGCUGCGGGUUCCGGCCGUUAAACCACCUUCAUAACCCAAGGUUGACCUCGGAUCAGGUAGGAAGACCCGCUGAACUUAAGCAUAUCAAUAAGCGGAGGA